CCUACGGGAGGCAGCAGUGGGGAAUAUUGCACAAUGGGCGCAAGCCUGAUGCAGCCAUGCCGCGUGUAUGAAGAAGGCCUUUGGGUUGUAAAGUACUUUCAGCGGGGAGGAAGGGAGUAAAGUUAAUACCUUUGCUCAUUGACGUUACCCGCAGAAGAAGCACCGGUUAACUCCGUGCCAGCAGCCGCGGGUAAU
rnacentral:rRNA from 1 species